rnacentral:rRNA from 1 species
CCUAAGGCUAAAUACUCUCUAGUGACCGAUAGUGAACCAGUACCGUGAGGGAAAGGUGAAAAGCACCCCGGAAGGGGAGUGAAAUAGAACCUGAAACCGUGUGCUUACAAGUAGUCAGAGCCCGUUAAUGGGUGAUGGCGUGCCUUUUGUAGAAUGAACCGGCGAGUUACGAUUUGAUGCAAGGUUAAGCAGUAAAUGUGGAGCCGUAGCGAAAGCGAGUCUGAAUAGGGCGUUUAGUAUUUGGUCGUAGACCCGAAACCAGGUGAUCUACCCUUGGUCAGGUUGAAGUUCAGGUAACACUGAAUGGAGGACCGAACCGACUUACGUUGAAAAGUGAGCGGAUGAACUGAGGGUAGCGGAGAAAUUCCAAUCGAACCUGGAGAUAGCUGGUUCUCUCCGAAAUAGCUUUAGGGCUAGCCUCAAGUGAUGAUUAUUGGAGGUAGAGCACUGUUUGGACGAGGGGCCCCUCUCGGGUUACCGAAUUCAGACAAACUCCGAAUGCCAAUUAAUUUAACUUGGGAGUCAGAACAUGGGUGAUAAGGUCCGUGUUCGAAAGGGAAACAGCCCAGACCACCAGCUAAGGUCCCAAAAUAUAUGUUAAGUGGAAAAGGAUGUGGCGUUGCCCAGACAACUAGGAUGUUGGCUUAGAAGCAGCCAUCAUUUAAAGAGUGCGUAAUAGCUCACUAGUCGAGUGACACUGCGCCGAAAAUGUACCGGGGCUAAACAUAUUACCGAAGCUGUGGAUUGUCCUUUGGACAAUGGUAGGAGAGCGUUCUAAGGGCGUUGAAGCAUGAUCGUAAGGACAUGUGGAGCGCUUAGAAGUGAGAAUGCCGGUGUGAGUAGCGAAAGACGGGUGAGAAUCCCGUCCACCGAUUGACUAAGGUUUCCAGAGGAAGGCUCGUCCGCUCUGGGUUAGUCGGGUCCUAAGCUGAGGCCGACAGGCGUAGGCGAUGGAUAACAGGUUGAUAUUCCUGUACCACCUAUAAUCGUUUUAAUCGAUGGGGGGACGCAGUAGGAUAGGCGAAGCGUGCGAUUGGAUUGCACGUCUAAGCAGUAAGGCUGAGUAUUAGGCAAAUCCGGUACUCAUUAAGGCUGAGCUGUGAUGGGGAGAAGACAUUGUGUCUUCGAGUCGUUGAUUUCACACUGCCGAGAAAAGCCUCUAGAUAGAAAAUAGGUGCCCGUACCGCAAACCGACACAGGUAGUCAAGAUGAGAAUUCUAAGGUGAGCGAGCGAACUCUCGUUAAGGAACUCGGCAAAAUGACCCCGUAACUUCGGGAGAAGGGGUGCUCUUUAGGGUUAACGCCCAGAAGAGCCGCAGUGAAUAGGCCCAAGCGACUGUUUAUCAAAAACACAGGUCUCUGCUAAACCGUAAGGUGAUGUAUAGGGGCUGACGCCUGCCCGGUGCUGGAAGGUUAAGAGGAGUGGUUAGCUUCUGCGAAGCUACGAAUCGAAGCCCCAGUAAACGGCGGCCGUAACUAUAACGGUCCUAAGGUAGCGAAAUUCCUUGUCGGGUAAGUUCCGACCCGCACGAAAGGCGUAACGAUUUGGGCACUGUCUCAACGAGAGACUCGGUGAAAUCAUAGUACCUGUGAAGAUGCAGGUUACCCGCGACAGGACGGAAAGACCCCGUGGAGCUUUACUGUAGCCUGAUAUUGAAAUUCGGCACAGCUUGUACAGGAUAGGUAGGAGCCUUUGAAACGUGAGCGCUAGCUUACGUGGAGGCGCUGGUGGGAUACUACCCUAGCUGUGUUGGCUUUCUAACCCGCACCACUUAUCGUGGUGGGAGACAGUGUCAGGCGGGCAGUUUGACUGGGGCGGUCGCCUCCUAAAAGGUAACGGAGGCGCUCAAAGGUUCCCUCAGAAUGGUUGGAAAUCAUUCAUAGAGUGUAAAGGCAUAAGGGAGCUUGACUGCGAGACCUACAAGUCGAGCAGGGUCGAAAGACGGACUUAGUGAUCCGGUGGUUCCGCAUGGAAGGGCCAUCGCUCAACGGAUAAAAGCUACCCCGGGGAUAACAGGCUUAUCUCCCCCAAGAGUUCACAUCGACGGGGAGGUUUGGCACCUCGAUGUCGGCUCAUCGCAUCCUGGGGCUGUAGUCGGUCCCAAGGGUUGGGCUGUUCGCCCAUUAAAGCGGUACGCGAGCUGGGUUCAGAACGUCGUGAGACAGUUCGGUCCCUAUCCGUCGUGGGCGUAGGAAAUUUGAGAGGAGCUGUCCUUAGUACGAGAGGACCGGGAUGGACAUACCUCUGGUGUACCAGUUGUCGUGCCAACGGCAUAGCUGGGUAGCUAUGUGUGGACGGGAUAAGUGCUGAAAGCAUCUAAGCAUGAAGCCCCCCUCAAGAUGAGAUUUCCCAACUUCGGUUAUAAGAUCCCUCAAAGAUGAUGAGGUUAAUAGGUUCGAGGUGGAAGCAUGGUGACAUGUGGAGCUGACGAAUACUAAUCGAUCGAAGACUUAAUCAA